GACGAACGCUGGCGGCGUGCCUAACACAUGCAAGUCGAGCGAGUGAAUCUCCUUCGGGAGUGAAGCUAGCGGCGGACGGGUGAGUAACACGUGGGCAACCUGCCUCAUAGAGGGGAAUAGCCUUUCGAAAGGCAGAUUAAUACCGCAUAAGAUUGUAGCUUCGCAUGGAGUAGCAAUUAAAGGAGCAAUCCGCUAUGAGAUGGGCCCGCGGCGCAUUAGCUAGUUGGUGAGGUAACGGCUCACCAAGGCGACGAUGCGUAGCCGACCUGAGAGGGUGAUCGGCCACAUUGGGACUGGGACACGGACCAGACUCCUACGGGAGGCAGCAGUGGGGAAUAUUGCACAAUGGGGGAAACCCUGAUGCAGCAACGCCGCGUGAGUGAUGACGGCCUUCGGGUUGUAAAGCUCUGUCUUCAGGGACGAUAAUGACGGUACCUGAGGAGGAAGCCACGGCUAACUACGUGCCAGCCGCCGCAGUAACAC
rnacentral:rRNA from 1 species